rnacentral:rRNA from 1 species
GACGAACGCUGGCGGCGUGCUUAACACAUGCAAGUCGAGCGGAAAGGCCCUGCUUUUGUGGGGUGCUCGAGUGGCGAACGGGUGAGUAACACGUGAGUAACCUGCCCUUGACUUUGGGAUAACUUCAGGAAACUGGGGCUAAUACCGGAUAGGAGCUCCUGCUGCAUGGUGGGGGUUGGAAAGUUUCGGCGGUUGGGGAUGGACUCGCGGCUUAUCAGCUUGUUGGUGGGGUAGUGGCUUACCAAGGCUUUGACGGGUAGCCGGCCUGAGAGGGUGACCGGCCACAUUGGGACUGAGAUACGGCCCAGACUCCUACGGGAGGCAGCAGUGGGGAAUAUUGCACAAUGGGCGGAAGCCUGAUGCAGCAACGCCGCGUGCGGGAUGACGGCCUUCGGGUUGUAAACCGCUUUCGCCUGUGACGAAGCGUGAGUGACGGUGAUGGGUAAAGAAGCACCGGCUAACUACGUG